UGUGCUGCUGCUGCUUCACUCUGAGACGGAGCAUCGAAGCGACAGCAUCUAAAAUGUCCUGGUUCAGAAAGUUGUGUUGUUGUAGCGUCCUGGCUGACGACGAGGAGCUGUACAGACACAGACCUGAGGAGAGGGAGAGAAAGAAGAAGAAGAAAUGGUGGCAGAGAUGCAAAAAGAAAGAACGGCAGGAGGACACAAAUGUGGAGGAACAUAAGGUGAUGGGAAAUGAGGAGAACGCAGGAACGUGCACACAGAUUCUGUCGGACCAAGGGCAGGAACUGGAGGUACAUGUAGUUCUGGAGAACCACAUCCAGGAACUGGGAGUACAGGUAGUUAUGCAGGACCAAGCCCAGGUCCUUGAGGAGCAGGUGGUUCUGAUGGACCAAGGGCAGCAUUUGGAGAAGCAGGAGCAGGUGGUUCUGAUAGACCAAGGGCAGCAUUUGGAGAAGCAGAAGCAGGUGAUUCUGAUGGACCAAGGGCAGCAUUUGGAGAAGCAGAAGCAGGUGAUUCUGAUGGACCAAGGGCAGCAUUUGGAGAAGCAGGAGCAGGUGGUUCUGACGGACCAAGGGCAGCAUUUGGAGAAGCAGGAGCAGGUGUUUCAAAAGGACCCAGUGCAAAAAUGGGAUGACCUGCUUGUUCAGCUGAAGCAGGUGCGCAACGUGAGCUGUUUCUGGAGAAGCAAGAAGAGGAACUGAAGGAGUCGUUGCUUCUGGAGAGCAAAAAAAGAAAGGAGCAGGUGGUUCUGGAGAACCAAGAGAAAGAACCGAAGGAGCAGGUGGUUAUGGAUAAACUGGAGGAGCAGCUGGUCCUGUAGGUGGAGAGCAGGAAACUGGAGGAGGUAGUAAUGCCAGACCUGAUAAGAAAAGUGAACAAGUGGGUGGCUGUGGAGGAAGAGAAGAACCUGGAUGAAGAGAACCCAGAGGAGCAGAACCCGGUUACACAAGGGAUUGAAGCAGAUCCACUUCAGGCUGACAUUCUGAAGAACACCUUCAGGUCCUCAUCUAAUGAAGUGGUGCAGCAGCAGAACGUCCAGGACGAGAACGUUCUGAUUGCUCCCACAUUCAGAAACCAACCUGGAGAGCAUGGGAGACUGAUGGAGACCAUGAUGAAGAAUCAAGGCGUGACCGUGUCUUCAUGAUAAAGCUGAAGAUAUAAUCAUCUGAAGAACCUGGUGGAGGCGUAAUGAAGAAUCACCAGACAACACGACGAGCUCCAGACUGAAACUUUCCUUCAUCAAAAAAAAAAUAAAGUUCAUUCAAAAAUAAA